ACGCUCGACACCUACGGGAGACAGCAGUGGGGAAUAUUGCACAAUGGGGGAAACCCUGAUGCAGCGACGCCGCGUGAGCGAAGAAGUAUUUCGGUAUGUAAAGCUCUAUCAGCAGGGAAGAAGAAAGACGGUACCUGACUAAGAAGCCCCGGCUAACUACGUGCCAGCAGCCGCGGUAAUCUGAGCGGGCUGGCAAGGC
rnacentral:rRNA from 1 species